UAUUUAUUUUUAGAUUGUUUAGAUCUUUUUGUUAGAAUAUUACAUUAAUGGAAUACUAAAAAAUGCGUAAGUUAAUAUAUUUUACCUUUUGUAUAAUGGUUGUACAAUAAUCAUACAGAAUUGUAGUUCCCGAAUUAAGAGGAGCUAUUUAUUGGCUUAUUUUAGUAACACAUUAAGUUAUGUUGAAGUAUGGCUAAGAGACUAAUAAAUAGGAGCGAAAAACUCUCAACUCUUAGGAUAUCUGGUAGUUUCAUAAAAGCAUUUAGUGCUGUAAAGUUAGAUACAAAGUGAUGAAAUUUUGUAUUGAUAGAAUUAAAAAUGUUCCCAAAUUUUCUAUAGUUAAUCCUAGAGAAAUAAUUUCAUGUAACCAUUUAUUAUUUAGUUUAUCUAAUCCUUGUGAAACUUUACCAAAAAAUUUGAUUUGGUAUUUAUUAUGUAUAAAUGAGUAAUAGAUUUAUAAAUUUUUAUAUGUAUUAAAAAUUUUUCACUAUGUAUAAAUAGAAAUUAAUAAGAAGGAACUCGGCAAAUAUGAACUUCCACUGUUUAACAAAAACAUAGCCUUAGGAGAUUAAUCUAAGGGUAGACCUGCCCAAUGUUCAAUUUUAUCAAUGGCCGCGGUACUUUGACCGUGCUAAGGUAGCGCAAUCAAUUGGCCUUUAAUUGGGGCCAGGUAUGAAUGGAGUUACGUGGUUCGACUGUCUCCUCAAUUAAUUUAUUGAAAUUACUAUUUAGGUGAAAAAGCCUAAAGAAAGAAAAAGGACGAGAAGACCCUUAGAGUUUAACUUAAGUCAGACAAUUCCUGAACCAGUUUAGUUGGGGCAACUUUGGAACAGAUAAAUUUCCUUAAAGUAACAAACCGAUUUUAAUAAAUGUGAAUAAACUACCUUAGGGAUAACAGCAUAAUUUUAUAAAUAAAGUUUGUGACCUCGAUGUUGGACUAAGAAAUUUAAGGGCUAGCCGCCUUUAAAGAAAGUCUGUUCGAACUAUUAUUCA
rnacentral:rRNA from 1 species